rnacentral:rRNA from 1 species
GACGAACGCUGGCGGCGUGCUUAACACAUGCAAGUCGAACGCUGAAGCUCAGCUUUUGUUGGGUGGAUGAGUGGCGAACGGGUGAGUAGCACGUGAGUAACCUGCCCCCUUCUUUGGGAUAACGCCCGGAAACGGGUGCUAAUACUGGAUAUUCACUGGUCUUCGCAUGGGGGUUGGUGGAAAGGGUUUUUCUGGUGGGGGAUGGGCUCGCGGCCUAUCAGCUUGUUGGUGGGGUGAUGGCCUACCAAGGCUUUGACGGGUAGCCGGCCUGAGAGGGUGACCGGUCACAUUGGGACUGUGAUACGGCCCAGACUCCUACGGGAGGCAGCAGUGGGGAAUAUUGCACAAUGGGCGCAAGCCUGAUGCAGCGACGCCGCGUGAGGGAUGGAGGCCUUCGGGUUGUGAACCUCUUUCGCUCAUGGUCAAGCCGCAACAAUGGUUGUGGUGAGGGUAGUGGGUAAAGAAGCGCCGGCUAACUACGUG